UACGAAGGGGGCAAGCGUUGUUCGGAAUGACUGGGCGUAAAGGGGCGCGUAGGCGGUUCGGUUGCGUCAGAUGUGAAAGCCCCGGGCUACAACCCGUGGGAGGGUCGUCGGUGGACUGUACCGCUUGAGGGCGAUAGGGGCUGGUGGAAUGCCUGGUGUAGUGGUGAAAUGCGUAGAUAUCGGGAGGAACACCAGUGGCGAAGG
rnacentral:rRNA from 1 species